UGAUUAGUGGCGAACGGGUGAGUAACACGUGAGUAACCUGCCCUCCACUUCGGGAUAACCUCGGGAAAUCGUGGCUAAUACCGGAUACGAGCACUCAUCGCAUGGUGAGUGCUGGAAAGAUUUAUCGGUGGGGGAUGGACUCGCGGCCUAUCAGUUUGUUGGUGAGGUGAUGGCUCACCAAGACGAUGACGGGUAGCCGGCCUGAGAGGGCGACCGGCCACACUGGGACUGAGACACGGCCCAGACUCCUACGGGAGGCAGCAGUGGGGAAUAUUGCACAAUGGGCGAAAGCCUGAUGCAGCGACGCCGCGUGGGGGAUGACGGCCUUCGGGUUGUAAACCCCUUUCAGUAGGGAAGAAGCGAGAGUGACGGUACCUGCAGAAGAAGCGCCGGCUAACUACGUGCCAGCAGCCGCGGUAAUACGUAGGGCGCAAGCGUUGUCCGGAAUUAUUGGGCGUAAAGAGCUUGUAGGUGGCUUGUCGCGUCUGCCGUGAAAACCCGAGGCUCAACCUCGGGCGUGCGGUGGGUACGGGCAGGCUAGAGUGUGGUAGGGGAGACUGGAACUCCUGGUGUAGCGGUGAAAUGCGCAGAUAUCAGGAAGAACACCGAUGGCGAAGGCAGGUCUCUGGGCCAUUACUGACAC
rnacentral:rRNA from 1 species